UGGAUCAAUGACUCAGUUUACUCUAUUUCAAGACUAUGAGGGGCAGAGAAGUACUGUCCUGCAAGGGAAUUUUUUUGUUGUUGGAAGUUCCCAAUUCCAGGGAGAUCAGGAGUUCAAUCCCUCUCCCUCUCUUACGUCUGCAAAGAGGGAGGGGAGUGUAGCCAUGCAUGACCUCUGCUCCAUUGGACCCAUCUGUGACAAUCUGAUUCAGUCACUUGGUCUUUGAUCCCAGGUGCCCUUGUGACUCCAAACAUUAGCCUAGUCCUAUAACUAUAAAGUUGCAAAAUCCCCAACAAAAUUGGACUGAGCUCAAGACCAGUGAUCUUUCUCCUGCCCUUAUUUAGAAAGGGAUCAAAUGCCAAGAAGCCUCAUUCAGAGUCAUUUUGAAACCAGUGCAGGCACUCAUGGCAGAGGUAAAAGGCUUCCUAGUAGGGGAAGAGACAAAGCAGUAUGGAGAGCAGAAGGGGUCUAAGCUGUGGGUCAUAAUUUUGGUUAUCAUUCUGGUGGUCCUCCCUGUGCUGGCCACAUUUCAGUGGUUUUUGCACAGAGCCACUUCUGAAGUCUUUCACCAAGCCUUCCCCUGUAAUGAGAGUCAACUACUGGAGGAGAAACUGAAACAAAGCCAGGAAAGCUUCCUGGAGAUGGAGACAAGAUGGUGGAGUUGCAGCAAUGACUCGAGAGACCUGAAUCAGACCCUGGAGGAGUUGACAUCCCAGAGAAACUCGCUGUACACUCAACUGCAGGAGCUGAAGGAAGAGAACCUGGAUUUGACUGAUAAACUUAAGAAGACUGAAACAGCCCUGCAGAGGGAAAGAGAAAAGAACUCAAGAGAGACAAAUUCAGCACUCCUUGGCCCUCAGACCUACUCUGGCCUCCUGAGUUUCUCUCUGGCCAUUGUCUUGCUUUCUGGGGCAGCUUAAGUGAG
rnacentral:lncRNA from 1 species